CAAGUUUUCCCAUUAUCUUUCACAAGGUAAAAGGGUUGAUGAUACACAUAUAACUACAGUAUCUUUUGAGUUUCGCGCUUGCUUCGUUAUGAAGGUAUAGUGCUAAACUCGAGGUAUUGAGGUGAGGUCAGAGUUUUAUGUAAUCCUGAGCUAACAAUUCAACAGCCUACCAGCAUUACAGGUUAUUAGUAGCAUAACAGGUCAUAACCAAUCUCCCGGGUCACCAUCUGCAACUGGUAAAUUUCCAGAACGUCACCCGUGGGACACUGUUGGACAAAACUAUUUUUUUCUGGUAGUUUUCAGUGUGUUAGGAAAUAAUGUACAAACUGUUUCUGUCACAAAUCAUUAAAACACUAAAUGAUUGACUCAGGUUCAGGUCGAGGUAGAUUGUGGAAGUCUUGCCUUUGAAUCGGCACUUCCUGAUGUGGUCUUGUGGUCUGGGUCUGGGUCUUAGGGUCGUAUUUAAAAAGAUUUCGUCGCCCAAGUUCACAAAAUUGACAAGGCUUUCGUAUGACUUUAGGGCAUUUCCAGUAGUAGUUUUAUGACCCUGGUGGUAGUUUGAUCCUUCUUCAGUAGCAUGAGCCUAAAAAAACACUCAUUAGAACCCGAUUGAUCCCUUCUCUUACCUUUAGAAAUAGUUGAAGUGAGAAACGAAAGUGUCUUAAAAUGAUUGCGAAAAAACGAUUUUUAGGGUCGUAUUUAAAAAGAUUUCGUCGCCCAAGUUCACAAAUUUGACAAGGCUUUCGUAUGACUUUAGGGCAUUUCCAGUAGUAGUUUUAUGACCCUGGUGGUAGUUUGAUCCUUCUUCAGUAGCAUGAGCCUAAAAAAACACUCAUUAGAACCCGAGUGAUCCCUUCUCUGACCUUUAGAAAUAGUUGAAGUGAGAAACGAAAGUGUCUGAAAAUACCGGCCUUAUAUUUGAUUUAGCUUCACUAUAUUGAUUUAAUCUUUUUCUCUUGUAUUUCCCAGAGUUUAUAGAUCGUUCUUUUACUUUGCUCAAUCACUUGCUCAUCAAAAAGGAGUAGGGUAGGUUCUGGACGAACCGUACAUAUGGAUGUACCGUACAAAAGCUCUCAAGACCACAUAUAUUAUUUUAAGCUAGUUAACGUCUAAAGAGUGAAAGAGAAAACGGAGUCACACAGCUCCGUCCCUCCAUUUGAGCGCGGCAACCAACAGCGCAUGAAUGAGGCGAGUUUUUCGGUUUUUCGCAUUCCUGAUGUAAUAUUUUGCCUCUAAAUUAUGGUUUGUGGUGCUUAUGAAUAUGCUAGGAGUGUGAAGGUUAGGUAUUGUACACCUAAAUAUGACUAUAUGUGAUGAUAUGACGAGGUUUUAGUGAUGUAGUACACCACGUGUGUCGGUAAAGUUUGUUUUCAUUUUAAUGGCUGCCUGUGGAUGUUUCGUACAGCUUGGCUUUUAAGUGUACGGAGUCUCCACAUGUAAACAAAGAUAUUUAUGCUGUUUGUGUGUUGAAUUUUAUUUGAAAAUUGACAGAUAGGCUACAGCAAUAUAGUCUAGGAUAGCAUAAGGUAUCUCAUAUGAAAUUUAAAGAUUCUGUUGCUUAUCUAAAUAUUGUUUUCAUUGUAAUUGUUUUGUUGUUGUGUCCAGUUCAAGAAUGGUGAAGGACACACUUGAAUAUAAUAAUGUAUAGUAUAGAUAUAUGCCUUGUGACCUUUAUUUAUGUUAUUUAUUUCAGAUUGAGCCAGGAUGCCACGCAAGUUCAUUCCCAAGAACCUCCGGGAGACAGACCAGACCAACCUCGAACUGGCAUUCAACUACAGGAUUGAGCACUACACCAGCAUACGGAGGGCAGCUCGGGAGUUUGGUGUCAAGGUUAUGACUCUGCAUGAUGCCUUCACAAGGAGCAAAGCCAAAUCUGAUGGGCACACCUUUGUAAUUCCCCAAGAAAAUUUUAACAAGAUUUUCAACAAGAAUCAGGAGGAAAUGCUGUGCAAAUAUGCCAUACAUGUGGCAAGACUGUUCUAUGGGAUGACUCGCAAGGAAUUUCGCCGACUUGCAUAUGAGUAUGCUGUGGCUUGCAAGUGCUCCAAUAUCCCUGCAAACUGGCAUGCCACACAACUGGCAAACGAAAAUUGGCUCCAGCGUUUCAUCAGGUUUCCCUACUCUCUUCUUUCAUAUAAUAUCAAGUAGGCAUUUUUGUUUGUUUUAAGCCUUGUAAGCUUUUUAAGGCAAAGAAGAUAAUGUAACCAUAUUUUUUCUCAACUUUUUGUGUAAUAAAGGAAGAUUAAAAUUAAA